GAUGAACGCUGGCGGCGUGCCUAAUACAUGCAAGUCGAGCGAACAGACGAGGAGCUUGCUCCUCUGACGUUAGCGGCGGACGGGUGAGUAACACGUGGAUAACCUACCUAUAAGACUGGGAUAACUUCGGGAAACCGGAGCUAAUACCGGAUAAUAUAUUGAACCGCAUGGUUCAAUAGUGAAAGACGGUUUUGCUGUCACUUAUAGAUGGAUCCGCGCCGUAUUAGCUAGUUGGUAAGGUAACGGCUUACCAAGGCGACGAUGCGUAGCCGACCUGAGAGGGUGAUCGGCCACACUGGAACUGAGACACGGUCCAGACGCCUACGGGAGGCAGCAGUAGGGAAUCUUCCGCAAUGGGCGAAAGCCUGACGGAGCAACGCCGCGUGAGUGAUGAAGGUCUUCGGAUCGUAAAACUCUGUUAUUAGGGAAGAACAAAUGUGUAAGUAACUAUGCACGUCUUGACGGUACCUAAUCAGAAAGCCACGGCUAACUACGU
rnacentral:rRNA from 1 species